rnacentral:lncRNA from 1 species
UGAGGAAGCGAAUGGUCAGACAUGCGUGUCGGAGUUUAUUCCGCGGUGGGAGGGUGUGAUAAAAAGCAAGGAAGCUUGGCUUUCACUCCCAGAAAACUUGAGGGUGGCCGUGGGAACCAAAAAGCCCCUCAUUGUGCCUUAAAGGGAGUGACGGCCGCACAGGCUGUGUGUGCCUAGGCUCAGGAACCAGGGCAGCACUGCGCAGGCGUGGGCCACAAGCGGCCCUCCCCCCGCCCCAACAAGAGAGCAGGAAAUACAGGGAAGGCGGGUCCGCGUAGGCCUAUGGUAGAGGCAGAGCUGCGCGGCUGAGGUGCGCAGUGCCCAGGGAGAGCCUGGGAGCCGCGCGGUUAGCUGCUGGCGAGCCUUGUCUGGAUGGACUACGCCGCAAUGGUCGUCCGGCACACCUUGGGGCCUCGGGUGGGGCCCACAUGCCAGACUGCUGUGUAAAGAAAUCCUGAAUUUCCUACUAGAGGAUGAAAUACUUGUGGAGCCAGAGACAAGCCAUCCUAGCUCUGAUCUCCUUAGACCACAAGCCUGCCAGCCCUCAGACAUAGGGAGAGAGAUCGCAAGUAGGCAGAGCAGCAGGCAGAGAGCGGGAAGCAGGCUCCCCGUCAAGCAGAGAACCUGAUGUGGGUCUUGAUCCCAGGACCCUGAGAUCAUGACCUGGGCUGAAGGCAGAGGCUUAACCCACUAAGCCACCCAGGAACCCCAGGUAUUUUUAUUCUAUUUAACAUGUCAGCUAGCUUGCUUAGCAGUGACUCCAAAUAAAUUCUGUGUCUCC